AAGACACUAGUAUAAAAGAGACUACACUGCUUUGUCAGGGCAGAGAUGUGGGUUAAAUCCCCGCGUGUCUUA
rnacentral:tRNA from 1 species